AGAGCGAACGCUGGCGGCAGGCUUAACACAUGCAAGUCGAGCGGGCGUAGCAAUACGUCAGCGGCAGACGGGUGAGUAACGCGUGGGAACAUACCUUUUGGUUCGGAACAACACAGGGAAACUUGUGCUAAUACCGGAUAAGCCCUUACGGGGAAAGAUUUAUCGCCGAAAGAUUGGCCCGCGUCUGAUUAGCUAGUUGGUGAGGUAACGGCUCACCAAGGCGACGAUCAGUAGCUGGUCUGAGAGGAUGAUCAGCCACAUUGGGACUGAGACACGGCCCAAACUCCUACGGGAGGCAGCAGUGGGGAAUAUUGGACAAUGGGCGCAAGCCUGAUCCAGCCAUGCCGCGUGAGUGAUGAAGGCCCUAGGUUGUAAAGCUCUUUUGUGCGGGAAGAUAAUGACGGUACCGCAAGAAUAAGCCCGGCUAACUUCGCGCCAGCAGCCGC
rnacentral:rRNA from 1 species